rnacentral:rRNA from 1 species
AGUGAACGCUGGCGGUAGGCCUAACAAAUGCAAGUCGAACGGCGGCACAGUAAGAGCUUGCUCUUACGGGUGGCGAGUGGCGGACGGGUGAGGAAUACAUCGGAAUCUACUUUUUCGUGGGGGAUAACGUAGGGAAACUUACGCUAAUACCGCAUACGACCUACGGGUGAAAGCAGGGGAUCUUCGGACCUUGCGCGAUUGAAUGAGCCGAUGUCGGAUUAGCUAGUUGGCGGGGUAAAGGCCCACCAAGGCGACGAUCCGUAGCUGGUCUGAGAGGAUGACCAGGCACCCUGGCCCUCCCCCACCUCCCCCACCCCUACGGGAGGCACCCGUCGCGAAUAUGUGCCCAUGGGCUCAAUCCUGAUCCAGGCAUACCGGUUCGGCGACGAAGCUGUUCGGGUUGGUAAGCCGUUUUGGUGGGAAAGAACUGGAGCUGGUUAUAGCCCCGCUUUUCUGACGGUCCCCAAUGAAUAAGCCCCGGCUAACUUCGUG